CUGGGGAAUAGGGUAACGGCAGACCCACGGACUCUGACUCCGUUGAUCCUGGUUCGAAUCCAGGUUCCCCAGUC
rnacentral:tRNA from 1 species